UACGUAGGUGGCAAGCGUUGUCCGGAUUUAUUGGGUUUAAAGGGUGCGUAGGCGGUCUUUUAAGUCAGUGGUGAAAGCCUCCAGCUCAACUGGAGAAAUGCCAUUGAUACUGGAAGACUUGAGUAUAGUUGAGGUAGGCGGAAUUGACAGUGUAGCGGUGAAAUGCAUAGAUAUUGUCAAGAACACCGAUUGCGAAGGCAGCUUACUAAACUAUAACUGACGCUGAGGCACGAAAGUGCGGGGAUCAAACAGG
rnacentral:rRNA from 1 species